rnacentral:rRNA from 1 species
AUAGCGUAUAUUAAAGUUGUUGCAGUUAAAAAGCUCGUAGUUGGAUUUUAGAGUAUUAAAUUGUCGAAAGGGGAGCAAUCUUCUUUUCUUUUUAUUUUGGAGAAUCGGUCUACUUGGGAUUUAAAAUUUCUUUUUUUUUUCCAAGUGUGUACUAUUUUCCUUACUCUUCUUGUGGGUUUGGUUCAAUCUGCCCUUAACUGGGUGGAUUGUUUUUACCUCCCGCUCGUUUACUUUGAAAAAAUUAGAGUGUUUAAAGCAGGCGUUUUCCGCCCUGAAUACAUUAGCAUGGGGUAAUAGAAUAGGACUGUCUGUCUAUUUUGUUGGUUUCUAGAUGGAUAGUAAUGAUUAAUAGAGAUGGUUGGGGACAUUUAUAUUCCAUGGUCAGAGGUGAAAUUCUUGGACCGCCGGAAGACGAACAACUG